UUGUGAGGUUAAGCGACUAAGCGUACACGGUGGAUGCCCUGGCAGUCAGAGGCGAUGAAGGACGUGCUAAUCUGCGAUAAGCGUCGGUGAGGUGAUAUGAACCGUUAUAACCGGCGAUUUCCGAAUGGGGAAACCCAGUGUGUUUCGACACACUAUCAUUAACUGAAUCCAUAGGUUAAUGAGGCGAACCGGGGGAACUGAAACAUCUAAGUACCCCGAGGAAAAGAAAUCAACCGAGAUUCCCCCAGUAGCGGCGAGCGAACGGGGAGGAGCCCAGAGCCUGAAUCAGUGUGUGUGUUAGUGGAAGCGUCUGGAAAGGCGUGCGAUACAGGGUGACAGCCCCGUACACAAAAAUGCACAUAUUGUGAGCUCGAUGAGUAGGGCGGGACACGUGGUAUCCUGUCUGAAUAUGGGGGGACCAUCCUCCAAGGCUAAAUACUCCUGACUGACCGAUAGUGAACCAGUACCGUGAGGGAAAGGCGAAAAGAACCCCGGCGAGGGGAGUGAAAAAGAACCUGAAACCGUGUACGUACAAGCAGUGGGAGCCUCUUAAUGGGGUGACUGCGUACCUUUUGUAUAAUGGGUCAGCGACUUAUAUUCUGUAGCAAGGUUAACCGAAUAGGGGAGCCGAAGGGAAACCGAGUCUUAACUGGGCGUUAAGUUGCAGGGUAUAGACCCGAAACCCGGUGAUCUAGCCAUGGGCAGGUUGAAGGUUGGGUAACACUAACUGGAGGACCGAACCGACUAAUGUUGAAAAAUUAGCGGAUGACUUGUGGCUGGGGGUGAAAGGCCAAUCAAACCGGGAGAUAGCUGGUUCUCCCCGAAAGCUAUUUAGGUAGCGCCUCGUGAAUUCAUCUCCGGGGGUAGAGCACUGUUUCGGCAAGGGGGUCAUCCCGACUUACCAACCCGAUGCAAACUGCGAAUACCGGAGAAUGUUAUCACGGGAGACACACGGCGGGUGCUAACGUCCGUCGUGAAGAGGGAAACAACCCAGACCGCCAGCUAAGGUCCCAAAGUCAUGGUUAAGUGGGAAACGAUGUGGGAAGGCCCAGACAGCCAGGAUGUUGGCUUAGAAGCAGCCAUCAUUUAAAGAAAGCGUAAUAGCUCACUGGUCGAGUCGGCCUGCGCGGAAGAUGUAACGGGGCUAAACCAUGCACCGAAGCUGCGGCAGCGACACUAUGUGUUGUUGGGUAGGGGAGCGUUCUGUAAGCCUGUGAAGGUGGCCUGUGAGGGUUGCUGGAGGUAUCAGAAGUGCGAAUGCUGACAUAAGUAACGAUAAAGCGGGUGAAAAGCCCGCUCGCCGGAAGACCAAGGGUUCCUGUCCAACGUUAAUCGGGGCAGGGUGAGUCGACCCCUAAGGCGAGGCCGAAAGGCGUAGUCGAUGGGAAACAGGUUAAUAUUCCUGUACUUGGUGUUACUGCGAAGGGGGGACGGAGAAGGCUAUGUUGGCCGGGCGACGGUUGUCCCGGUUUAAGCGUGUAGGCUGGUUUUCCAGGCAAAUCCGGAAAACCAAGGCUGAGGCGUGAUGA
rnacentral:rRNA from 1 species